rnacentral:rRNA from 1 species
GGGGGGGGGGGGGGGGGGGGCGGGGGGGGGGGGGGCGGGGGGCAGCACGGGAGGAGCUGGCUCUUACGGGUGGCGAGUGGGGGACGGGUGGGGAAUACAGCGGAGUCUACUUGUUCGUGGGGGAUAACGUAGGGAAACUUACGCUAAUACCGCAUCCGACCUACGGGUGAAAGCAGGGGAUCUUCGGACCUUGCGCGAUUGAAUGAGCCGAUGUCGGAUUAGCUAGUUGGCGGGGUAAAGGACCACCAAGGCGACGAUCCGUAGCUGGUCUGAGAGGAUGAUCAGCACAACUGGAACUGAGACACGGUCCAGACUCCUACGGGAGGCAGCAGUGGGGAAUAUUGGACAAAGGGCGCAAGCCUGAUCCAGCCAUACCGCGUGGGUGAAGAAGGCCUUCGGGUUGUAAAGCCCUUUUGUUGGGAAAGAAAAGCAGCAGGUUAAUACCCCGCUGUUCUGACGGUACCCAAAGAAUAAGCACCGGCUAACUUCGUG